GUCGAACGAGGUCCAAGAAGUAGCAAUACUUUGGAAGACCUAGUGGCGAACGGGUGAGUAACGCGUGAGGAACUUGUCCCGGUCUCUGGGAUAACAGUUGGAAACGACUGCUAAUACCGGAUGACGUCGGAGCGUCGCAUGGCGCGCUGACGAAAGGGUUACUGGAUCGGGAGAGCCUCGCGACCUAUCAGCUUGUUGGCGGGGUAACGGCCCACCAAGGCUACGACGGGUAGCUGGUCUGAGAGGAUGAUCAGCCACACUGGGACUGAGACACGGCCCAGACUCCUACGGGAGGCAGCAGUGGGGAAUCUUGCGCAAUGGGCGAAAGCCUGACGCAGCAACGCCGCGUGCGGGAAGAAGGCUUUCGGGUUGUAAACCGCUUUCAGCAGGAACGAAAAUGACGGUACUUGCAGAAGAAGGUGCGGCCAACUACGUGCCAGCAGCCGCGGUGACACGUAGGCACCAAGCGUUGUCCGGAUUUAUUG
rnacentral:rRNA from 1 species